rnacentral:rRNA from 1 species
UAGGGAAUCUUCCACAAUGGACGCAAGUCUGAUGGAGCAACGCCGCGUGAGUGAAGAAGGUUUUCGGAUCGUAAAGCUCUGUUGUUGGUGAAGAAGGAUAGAGGUAGUAACUGGCCUUUAUUUGACGGUAAUCAACCAGAAAGUCACGGCUAACUACGUGCCAGCAGCCGCGGUAAUACGUAGGUGGCAAGCGUUGUCCGGAUUUAUUGGGCGUAAAGCGAGCGCAGGCGGAAGAAUAAGUCUGAUGUGAAAGCCCUCGGCUUAACCGAGGAAUUGCAUCGGAAACUGUUUUCUUGAGUGCAGAAGAGGAGAGUGGAACUCCAUGUGUAGCGGUGGAAUGCGUAGAUAUAUGGAAGAACACCAGUGGCGAAGGCGGCUCUCUGGUCUGCAACUGACGCUGAGGCUCGAAAGCAUGGGUAGCGAACAGGAUUAGAUACCCUGGUAGUCCAUGCCGUAAACGAUGAGUGCUAAGUGUUGGGAGGUUUCCGCCUCUCAGUGCUGCAGCUAACGCAUUAAGCACUC